rnacentral:rRNA from 1 species
CGGCCCUACCCAAGGCGGACGGAUUCAGUAAGCUUGGUCUGAGAGGGAUGAUCAGCCACACUGGGACUGAGACACGGCCCAGACUCCUACCGGGAGGCAGCAGUGGGGAAUAUUGGACAAUGGGCGCAAGCNUGAUCCAGCCAUGCCGCGUGAGUGAUGAAGGCCUUAGGGUUGUAAAGCUCUUUUAUCCGGGACGAUAAUGACGGUACCGGAGGAAUAAGCCCCGGCUAACUUCGUGCCAGCAGCCGCGGUAAUACGAAGGGGGCUAGCGUUGCUCGGAAUCACUGGGCGUAAAGGGCGCGUAGGCGGCGUUUUAAGUCGNGGGUGAAAGCCUGUGGCUCAACCACAGAAUGGCCUUCGAUACUGGGACGCUUGAGUAUGGUAGAGGUUGGUGGAACUGCGAGUGUAGAGGUGAAAUUCGUAGAUAUUCGCAAGAACACCGNUGGNGAAGGCGGCCAACUGGNCCUUUUCUGACGCUGAGGCGCGAAAGCGUGGGGANCAAACAGGAUUAGAUACCCUGGUAGUCCACGCCGUAAACGAUGAAUGCCAGCUGU